AGUGAGGAAUAUUGGUCAAUGGACGAAAGUCUGAACCAGCCAAGUAGCGUGCAGGAUGACGGCCCUAUGGGUUGUAAACUGCUUUUGUAUGGGGAUAAAGUUAGGGACGUGUCCCUAUUUGCAGGUACCAUACGAAUAAGGACCGGCUAAUUCCGUGCCAGCAGCCGCGGUAAUACGGAAGGUCCGGGCGUUAUCCGGAUUUAUUGGGUUUAAAGGGAGCGUAGGCUGGAGAUUAAGUGUGUUGUGAAAUGUAGACGCUCAACGUCUGACUUGCAGCGCAUACUGGUUUCCUUGAGUACGCACAACGUUGGCGGAAUUCGUCGUGUAGCGGUGAAAUGCUUAGAUAUGACGAAGAACUCCGAUUGCGAAGGCAGCUGACGGGAGCGCAACUGACGCUUAAGCUCGAAGGUGCGGGUAUCAAACAGGAUUA
rnacentral:rRNA from 1 species